rnacentral:rRNA from 1 species
AGUGAACGCUGGCGGUAGGCCUAACACAUGCAAGUCGAACGGCAGCACAGUAAGAGCUUGCUCUUACGGGUGGCGAGUGGCGGACGGGUGAGGAAUACAUCGGAAUCUACUUUUUCGUGGGGGAUAACGUAGGGAAACUUACGCUAAUACCGCAUACGACCUACGGGUGAAAGCAGGGGAUCUUCGGACCUUGCGCGAUUGAAUGAGCCGAUGCCGGAUUAGCUAGUUGGCGGGGUAAAGGCCCACCAAGGCGACGAUCCGUAGCAGGUCUGAGAGGAUGAUCAGCCACACUGGAACUGAGACACGGUCCAGACUCCUACGGGAGGCAGCAGUGGGGAAUAUUGGACAAUGGGCGCAAGCCUGAUCCAGCCAUACCGCGUGGGUGAAGAAGGCCUUCGGGUUGUAAAGCCCUUUUGUUGGGAAAGAAAAGCAGCAGGUUAAUCCCCCGCUGUUCUGACGGUACCCAAAGAAUAAGCACCGGCUAACUUCGUG